rnacentral:tRNA from 1 species
UGGGGUGUGGUUCAGUGAUAGAGUGCUUGCCUAGCAUGUAUGAGGCACUGGGUUCAAUUCUCAGCACCACAU